GCAGGAACACCAUAACCGGGAGGAAGCGUGGGUUAAUAUGUGUAUAGGUACUGGGAUGUCUACACAACUGUGUGAGUCGAUUGACUUCAAAAACGUUGCCACUUUACUCGAACCAAAAUUAAAACACAUGUUCAUGUACAGUAUUUCUUCUUUAGUCUGUUGGCUAUUAAGGUUUUUUCCUGGAACACUUACGAACAUCAUA